GCUUAAAUAUAUAGCUCAGUCGGUAUAGCAUGAGACUUUUAAUCCCAGGAUCGUGGGUUUGAGCCCUGAAGUUGGGCA